AGCUGGUCGGGGUCGACGGCGCGGGACGCGAGGAGGUAGUCGCGCAUCACGAUGCCGUGGCGGCCCUC
rfam:Streptomyces alboflavus strain MDJK44, complete genome.